UUAGUGGCGGCGAUCGACGGUUCCCGCUCUCGGGCGGGAUGAAAAGGGAAUGCGGUGCGGGGUGCCCUCGGGUGUUCCUAUUCCGCGGCUGCCCCCGCAACUGUGAGCGGCGAGCCCGCGCCUGAAGCCACUGGAGACCUCUCCGGGAAGGCGGCGACGAGGCGGCGACCCGCGAGCCAGGAGACCUGCCGGAGAUUCGGUCGUGUC
rnacentral:ncRNA from 2 species